rnacentral:lncRNA from 1 species
UCAGAGCACUUCGCUCCUGCUGCCUUUGGCCUGAUGCUUAGAUGGAUUGAUGCGUAAGUUUGAAUCCUUUCAUUUUUCACUUCUCUAAUGGGUGGCUGAUGGCCUGAUGCUUUGAUGGAUCGAUGCAUGCUAGAACUGGCUGAUAUGUGCGUGUGUGUGCACAUUUUUUUCUUUUGAUUUUUGUAGAGAUUGGCUCAUGCUUCUCUGCUUAUGGAUUUCUUCUUUCUUCUGUCUGUGUUUCUCACUCUGUUGUUGAAUGAUCUGGUGAUUUUUUUUCUUUGUGGGCUUAUCUGAUGAAAUUUACUGCUACUUAGAUUGUGCACUGACACUGCCACCAGAAGAUAGAUCAUAGAUGCAUGUGUUUGCUUUCGAACAUGGUGCGUAAUCUUGUGGUUUGCCAACUGUCACCUCCGGCAAUUUCAGUUCAACAUGUCUUGGUUUUUGCAUUCUGAGUUCAGAGUUCUACAUAGUGGAAUGGUUAGUAUAUGGGAGUUUGCAUCUAUAGUUGCAUACUGUGGUUCCAUUCCGNNNNNNNNNNNNNNNNNNNNNNNNNNNNNNNNNNNNNNNNNNNNNNNNNNNNNNNNNNNNNNNNNNNNNNNNNNNNNNNNNNNNNNNNNNNNNNNNNNNNNNNNNNNNNNNNNNNNNNNNNNNNNNNNNNNNNNNNNNNNNNNNNNNNNNNNNNNNNNNNNNNNNNNNNNNNNNNNNNNNNNNNNNNNNNNNNNNNNNNNNNNNNNNNNNNNNNNNNNNNNNNNNNNNNNNNNNNNNNNNNCAAAUGAUACCACAUUAGUAUAGUAGAACGUACCACUUCCUCUUAAGAUUUCAGAAAUGACAUGUCAAGGACAGGGUAUAGAGCUCCGAAGAGUAUUCUCCUUCCGUCAUCGGUUGCUAAAUCAGUAACGCCCAGCGUUGUGUGCGAUGGAGCCCUUACUGCUGUUCACAACUGAACUCUUUAUUUUAUUUUAAUCCUUCAGAUUUGUCGGGUCAGGGAUCCUUCAGUUUUGUUGGAUCAGAAGUAAGAGCACCGGGACUUCAAGGACGAUGUAGAUUGUCGAAGGAAGUUGCAGAGUGCAUGGGCAGCAGUACCAGAGCAAGAACCUCGCGCGUGACGGAGCUGCUGUGGUAGAGAAGCAAAACUCAACGACUAACUCUACAAGCUCUGGUCACUCUCUUAAACAUCACUAACGUAAUCAUAUCUCACUCCAUUAUGCAAAUCUUAUUUUCUGAUUUUUUUGAUUCCAUUUCAGUACUUGUACCUUUUUACAAUGCGUUUAGUGCAUAUGAAUGAAGUAUAUUGAUUUAUCUUCUACCUAUGGUUUGCUAUGCUUUAUUGGUGCUCAACGUUUUUGACAUGUUGGCAUGCAUAUUACUAAAUUUGGUCAAGCAACCCGCCAACAGAUACAAAGAAGGUGAGUUUAUAAUGUGUAAUACCCAUUUCCUUUUUCUUUUUAUCCUGCAAUGUGCAAUACUUAAGUGGAAUUCAGUUAUUGAUGUUUGUUUUAUGCGGUUGAAAAAAGAAUCUCAAAUUUGGUGACCCUAUGUUGCUGGUUUGAUUAUGAUAAAUGCUUGUUGAAAUGAGCCAACUGAUAUUUUUUCUGCUGCAUGUCACCCUUGCGUGACGAAAGUUAUAUUGUCUAAGCGACGACUUAAUUGAUUAUAGUUCUCUUUAUCCCUGAAAGGUGCUAUGCAACAAUACAAAAUUGCUUUUGUUUGCAGGGUUAUAUGUCUUCUGAUCAUCUUGAUGGCAUAUAUGAGGACCUGCAAUACUGAACCUGGAAGUUAGUCAUUGAGGCAGUGGUCAUGGUAGUGAUAUCUACUGUGAGAACAUAAACGUUUGGCCCUCCUUUUUGCCACGAAGGAUUAUGAUCAACUGGACUUGCAGAACCAGUUAAUGGCAUGAUGCUGGCAGUAGUAAUGGAGGGUUGUGAUUUCUGGAUGGUAAAUUCUGAAUUGGAAAUGAUAUUUUCUAAUGUAUUCAUACAGUUAGAUAAUAUCAUAUUAGAUUUUCUUCUCUUACCUAGAACGUCUGCCAUGUAAAGCAUGCUUCCCUUUGAUUUGCUGUUGUGCUAGGAAUAGGACGGAUUGGCGUCCUCUUCUCACGAAACACACUGACAUAAAGUUUCUGGUUUCUGACGUACAAGGAUUAUUUACUAUGAACAAACAUUGCAAUGUUCAUUGGUAGUACUGUUUGUUGAGGCGAUGCCUCUGCCACAGGUAUGAAAUUAUCGUUGGGCCUUCAACUAUUUUUAUUUGAUGUAUAUGCUUCCAAACACUACUUGUUCCAGUACUACAUACUGGACAAAAACAAUUUCCUUAUAUGCCUGAACACGGCAUGGCUAAUUAGUAAUUGCACUACAUUCCUAAUAACUUCUAAACUUUUGGGAGGCAUGGCAAUGUUCUUCAACCAUGAGUAAGUUCAUAUAUAAUUAGACACUUCAAAAAUAAUGUCCUGUGACACAACUCACCUUGGUAACUAUGCUACAAAGUGUCCGAACCUACAUUUUAUAUCAGGAUGAUAAAAUUUCACCAAUCUAUCAUCGUUCAUACAAAAUUGAACUUGGGAGUGUUAAAAACCGCCGUCACUAAUUUAGCUAACCACUUACCAGUAGGUAAUCUAGCUAAUCGCUCACCAAGUAAGUAAUCUUUAAUCUGACGUUGUAUAUUGACUGUAGGACAAUAACAACCCAGUUUUCAACAGCUGCAAAAUAUUAAAAUGCUGCUAAUUUAAGAAUUGAGGAGAUUGCCUUUUCAUUUUGUAAAAUCUUCCUGUUCCAUUGUUCCACCUAAAGUGACCAAGCAUGAUCUUUAAUUUGCCAUGUAUGAUGCAGGGGAGCCAUUUUAUUAAGCUGGCAUUAGCACAAAAACACAAUAACCGUUGGGAGGGCUCCUUUGUAUCCCUAGACCCACACCCACACCCGACCGCCAUCUCCCACUUUCCUCAGUAUCACGACCUGAUGCGACGUUGGCAACACAAUCAGUCGGAGGAGGCCAGCGGUGGCGAUGACGGCUCUGCGAUGGGGAAAGGUCGCUUGUCGUCGCGGCACCAGCAAUUCCAGGAUCGCAUAAUACCCGCAUGUUGAUGACCUCCAGGACUCUCCGGCCUCCUCCCUCCAGGUACCUCUCCAAACCCUAACCGUCUCUGAGGUUCACAAUUUAUUACUAUACUACUAUUGUUUAAUUAGAUGGUAACAUAAAACUUUGAGUGUCUUAUAGGAGUUUUUAUUCACGGUUUGAGAUGCUAACUGGGUUCUCUCUGUCUCUCACAAGUUUGUCCUUGUGUUAUCUCUUUAUUCAGGGUACUCCCUCCAUUUCUGAAUAUAAUACCUUUUAGAGAUUUCACUAUAGACUACACACGUAACAAAAUGAGUAAAUCUACACUCUAAAGUAUGUCUAUACAUCCGUAUGUAGACCACGAUGGAAUCUAUAAAAGGUCUUAUAUUUAGGAACGGAGGGAGUAAAAAAUGCCUAGAAUAAAGAAAUGAUGAAUUGUAUUGUACUCAUUAUUGUAGUUAAAGAUUAUGUCUAUGUGAACGAUCGCCCUUUAAAUGAAGGUGUUCGUGACUAUGCAGCAGAAAUGUCAUUUUACCAGAGAGGUAAGCAAAUUUUGUAUCUGCAUCGGUAUAUUGCUGCAUUGUUCAUGAGUUCGACAACUAAAAUUGGGAAUUUGAUUCGUUAAACAUAUAUACCGACCAAAUAGUUUGUCGAAGCUUUCAAAACAUGUACUUACAGGAUAUUUUCUUCCGUGAUGCAGGUUCUAGAACAGACCCAGCAACAAGUGAGUUAAAAGUUUCCAACUAUUUUUGUCAAAUAUGCUACUUGCUUGAGCUGUUUUUGGACUUGAAGUAGGUGAACUGGGAAUUCGAUAUGGUUCAUGCAACCUUUUCUCUUGAGUGCAGUACGUCCCAACGGCUUAUCCAGGCGACGGAAAAGGAUUAAGAGGGGGUGCUGCAGUACCUGAUAGAAACCUAUAGGGGCCUCCCUGGUUAGUCCAAGAGAAUGGCAAGUGGUCACACUGAUCUCCAAAUUUUUAAUUCAGUCUUCAACUAAAAUUAAUCGAUUCGGUAAAUUUGAUGAAGUUUGGCCAUGGUUAUGCACAUACCAGUGCACUGCUUCAAGUCUAUUUAUGAUUGAUGUGGCAUCUCACUUCAGGCAAGGCAUCUGCGAAUGUGACCGACAGGUGGAAUACUAGAAUGCCUACAUAGGGAGCACACUGGAUGGGUUAAGGUCAGUCGUUCUAACGAAUUCCACCAAGAAUUUUCAUGAAACCUUCAGAGAUUAAUUCCUCUUUAUUUGGUAAGUUACUUACAUGUGUCGCCAGAUUAAGUGAACCGCUGACUUAAAGUGUUUCUGUUUGCUUAGAUUGAUGAGUCAAACAAGAACAAUACUUCUCUUAAUCAGUUGAGGGGCAGAAUUGUGGUCUUUGAUUGUGAAGAUGAUUGCAACCAAAACCGAGCUACAUGGAUCUCCACUGCAGGGUCUUGAUAUUCUGAAAGCAAGGCACUAACUGAACUUCUGUUUUUCAUCCUUAUAUAUCUGCAGUAAAAAAUAGCAGUUCUAGGUAAGGGAGGUUAUUUGCAUUGGUUCCCUUUCUGUAUGGUGUUCUUCCAUCCAUUUUCUUCCUUCUCUAUAGUCAUGUUUGUUAUCAGUUCGAUUACUGCAAUAGACAUAUACAUGUAUAUGUGGAUUGUGGUAUAGUUCUAGGUAAAAAUGGAGCAGUUGUUCACUUGUUCUAUAACAGUCGAAAGGGAUUUCCAGUGAAACUCUAGGUAUGUAGCUGUGUUUUAUUUUGAACCAGUAAUAAUACUAGAAUGAUUUCCUGGCCAGGACAAAUUGAUGUGUGUGAAUACCAUUAAACUGUUAUGAUAAAAUAUUUAGUCUAAUAAGAGUCAAAAAAUACGAUUUUGGGGAAAGUUUUCAUAUCCCAAUCGUGGUACAUUAAGAAAAUGAGUACCUUAUACAUGUAUUGAGUACCUUACUUUCUUGUUAUAGUUUAUCUGCUGAUGGUGCUUCACUACAAAUUACUGGAAUUUUGUGGGCACUACUAAUGAUAAUAUCAUUCUUUCCGCGAGUUGCGGAUACAAUAUUGAAGGUUACAAGUCUAUUAAUCGGCCGCCUACCCAUUUUCUGUUAUUUAGUUACCAGUUUAACUCAUAAAACUAAAGUAUGAUUGAUGCUGGAGAUAAUGUUGUUGCUAAGAAUUCGAAGUGUUGGGGAACGUAGCAGAAAUUCAAAAUUUUCCUACGUGUCACCAAGAUCUAUCUAUGGAGAAACCAGCAACGAGGAGAAGGAGAGUGCAUCUACAUACCCUUGUAGAUCGCUAAGCGGAAGCGUUCAAGAGAACGGGGUUGAAGGAGUCGUACUCGUCGUGAUCCAAAUCACCGGAGAUCCUAGUGCCGAACGGACGGCACCUCCGCGUUCAACACACGUACAGCCCGGUGACGUCUCCCAUGCCUUGAUCCAGCAAGGAGAGAGGGAGAGGUUGAGGAAGACUCCGUCCAGCAGCAGCACAACGGCGUGGUGGUGAUGGAGGAGCGUGGUAGUCCAGCAGGGCUUCGCCAAGCACCGCGAGAUAUGAGGAGAAGGGAGAGAGGUAGGGCUGCGCCAAGAGGAGAAGGGAGGGAUUCUCGUGUGUUGGGCAGCCCCCAAUCCUCUAGUAUUUAUAGGGGUAGGGGAGGGGGCUGCGCCCCCUCUAGGGUUCCCUCCCCAGGGGUGGCGGCAGCCCCCAGAUCCCAUCUGGGUGGCGGCCAGAGGGGGAGAGAGGGGAGGCGCGCCUGGGGCGGGCCUUAGGGCCCAUCUGCCCUAGGGUUUGCCCCCUCCCACUCUCCCCUGCGCCUUGGGCCCCUUGUGGGGGGCGCACCAGCCCACCUGGGGCUGGUUCCCUCCUACACAUGGCCCAUGCAGCCCUCCGGGGUAGGUGGCCUCACUUGGUGGACCCCCGGGACCCUCCCGGUGGUCCCGGUACGUUACCGAUAAAACCCGAAACUUUUCCGGUGACCAAAACAGGACUUCCCAUAUAUAAAUCUUUACCUCCGGACCAUUCCGGAACUCCUCGUGACGUCCGGGAUCUCAUACGGGACUCCGAACAACAUUCGCUAACCACAUACAAACUUCCUUUAUAACCCUAGCGUCAUCGAACCUUAAGUGUGUACACCCUACGGGUUCGGGAGACAUGAAGACAUGACCGAGACGUUCUCCGGUCAAUAACCAACAUCGGGAUCUGGAUAUCCAUGUUGGCUCCCACAUGUUCCACGAUGAUCUCAUCGGAUGAACCACGAUGUCAAGGACUCAAUCGAUCCCGUAUACAAUUCCCUUUGUCUAGCGGUAUUUUACUUGCCCGAGAUUCGAUCGUCGGUAUACCGAUACCUUGUUCAAUCUCGUUACCGGCAAGUCUCUUUACUCGUUCCGCAACACAUCAUCCCGUGAUCAACCCCUUGGUCACAUUGUGCACAUUAUGAUGAUGUCCUACCAAGUGGGCCCAGAGAUACCUCUCCGUUUACACGGAGUGACAAAUCCCAGUCUCGAUCCGUGUCAACCCAACAGACACUUUCGGAGAUACCUGUAGUGCACCUUUAUAGUCACCCAGUUACGUUGUGAUGUUUGAUACAUCCAAAGCACUCCUACGGUAUCCGGGAGUUACACGAUCUCAUGGUCUAAGGAAGAGAUACUUGACAUUAGAAAAGCUCUAGCAAAUGAACUACACGAUCUUUGUGCUAUGCUUAGGAUUGGGUCUUGUCCAUCACAUCAUUCUCCUAAUGAUGUGAUCUCGUUAUCAACGACAUCCAAUGUCCAUAGCCAGGAAACCAUGACUAUCUGUUGAUCACAACGAGCUAGUCAACUAGAGGCUCACUAGGAACAUAUUGUGGUCUAUGUAUUCACACGUGUAUUACAAUUUCCGGAUAAUACAGUUAUAGCAUGAAUAAAAGACAAUUAUCAUGAACAAGGAAAUAUAAUAAUACUUUUAUUAUUGCCUCUAGGGCAUAUUUCCAACAGUCUCCCACUUGUACUAGAGUCAAUAAUCUAGUUCACAUCGCCAUGUGAUUAACAUUGAAGGUCACAUCGCCAUGUGACCAACAUCCAAAGAGUUUACUAGUGUCAUUAAACUAGUUCAUAUCAUCAUGUGAUUAAGACUCAAUGAGUUCUGGGGUUUGAUCAUGUUUUGCUUGUGAGAGAGGUUUUAGUCAACGGGUCUGCAACAUUCAGAUCCGUAUGUACUUCGCAAAUCUCUAGGUCAUAUUGUAAUGUUGCUUCCAGGCUCCACUUGGAGCUAUUCCAAAUGGUCGCUCCACUAUACGUAUCCGGUUUGCUACUCAGAGUCACUCGGAUAGGUGUUAAAGCUUGCAUCGACCUUUACGCCGAACUCUUUAUCACCUCCAUAAUCGAGAAACAUGUCCUUAUUACUCCAAGGACAAUUUUGACCGCUGUUGAAUGAUCCAUUCCUGGAUCAUUCUUGUACCCCUUGACUGACUCAUGGCAAGGCACACUUCCGGUGCGGUACACAGCAUAGCAUACUAUAGAGCCUACGUCUGAAGCAUAGGGGACGACAUUCGUCCUUUCUCUCUAUUCUGCCGUGGUCGAGCUUUAACUCUUAACUUCAUACCUUACAACUCAGGCAAGAACUCCUUCUUUGACUGAUCCAUCUUGAACACCUUCAAGAUCAUGUCAAGGUAUGUGCUCAUUUUGAAAGUACCAUUUGCGUUUUUUGAUCUAUCCUCAUAGAUCUUGAUGCUCAAUGUUCAAGUAGCUUAAUCCAGGUUUUCCAUUGAAAAACAUUUUUCAAAUAACCCUAUAUGCUUUCCAGAAAUUCUACAUCAUUUCUGAUCAACAAUAUGUCAACGACAUAUACUCAUCAGAAAUUCUAUAGUGCUCCCACUCACUUCUUUGGAAAUACAAGUUUCUCAUAAACUUUGUAUAAACAAAAAAUCUUUGAUCAUCUUAUCAAAGUGCAUAUUCCAACUCCGAGAUGCUUACUCCAGUCCAUGGAAGGAUCGCCGGAACUAGCAUACCUUUUAGCAUCCUUAGGAUCGACAAAACUUUUCUGAUUGUAUCACAUACAACCUUUCCUUACGAAAACUGGUAAGGAAACUUGUUUUGACAUCCAUCUGCCAGAUUUCAUAAAUGCAGCUAAUGCUAACAUGAUUCUGACGGACUUUAAGCAUCGCUACGGAUGAGAAGAUCUCAUCGUAGUCAACUCCUUGAACUUGUGAAAAACUCUUCGCCACAAGUCGAGCUUCAUAGAUGGUGACAUUACCAUCCACGUCCGUCUUCUUCUUAAAUAUUCAUUUAUCUCAAUGGCUCGCCGAUCAUUGGGCAAGUCCACCAAAGUCCAUGCUUUGUUCUGAUACUGGAUCCUAUCUCAGAUUUCAUGGCUUCUAACCAUUUGUCGGAAUUUGGGCCCACCAUCGCUACUCCAUAGCUCGUAGGUUCAUUGUUGUCUAGCAACAUGACCUUCAAGACAGGAUUACUGUACCACUCUAAAGUAGUAUGCAUCCUUGUCACCCUACGAGGUACGGUAGAGACUUGAUCCGAAGUUUCAUGAUCACUAUCAUAAGCUUCUACUUCAAUUGGUGUAGGUGCCACAGGAACAACUUCCUGUGCCCUGCUACACACUAGUUGUAGUGACGGUUCAAUAACCAUAUCAAGUCUCCACCAUCCUCCCACUCAACUUUUCGAGACAAACUUUUCCUCGAGAAAGGACCCGAUUCAAGAAACAAUCCCUAUUGUUUUCGGAUCUGAAUUAGGAGGUAUACCCAACUGUUUUGGGUGUCCUAUGAAGAUGCAUUUUAUCCGCUUUGGGUUCGAGCUUAUCAACCUGAAACUUUUUCACAUAAGCGUCGCAGCCCCAAACCUUUAAGAAAUGACAGCUUAGGUUUCUCUAAACCAUAGUUCAUACGGUGUCAUCUCGACGGAAUUACGUGGUGCCCUAUUUAAAGUGAAUGUGGUUGUCUCUAAUGCCUAACCCAUAAACGAUAGUGGUAAUUCGAUAAGAGACAUCAUGGUACGCACCAUAUCCAACAGGGUGCAACUAUGAUGUUCGGACACACCAUCAAACUAUGGUGUUCCAGGCGGUAUUAAUUGUGAAACAAUUUCCACAAUGUCUUAAUUGCGUGCCAAAGCUCGUAACUCAGAUACUCAUAUCUAUGAUCAUAUCAUAGACAUUUUAUCCUCUUGUCACGAUGAUCUUCAACUUCACUCUGAAAUUGCUUGAACCAUUCAAUAAUUCAGACUUGUGUUUCAUCAAAUAAAUAUACUCAACAUCUACUUGAAUCAUCUGUAAAGUAAGAACAUAACGAUAUUCACUGCAUGCCUCAGCACUCAUUGGACUGCACACAUCAAAAUGUGUUACUUCCAACAAGUUGCUAUCUUGUUCCAUCUUACUGAAAACGAGGCUUUUCAGUCAUCUUGCCCAUGUGGUAUGAUUUGCAUAUCUCAAGUGAUUCAAAAUCAAGUGAGUCCAAACGAUCCAUCUGCAUGGAGUUUCUUCAUGCAUAUACACCAAGAGACAUGGUUCACAUGUCUCAAACUUUUCAAAAACGAGUGAGUUCAAAGAUCCAUCAACAUGGAGCUUCUUCAUGUGUUUUAUACCAAUAUGACUUACAUGGCAAUGCCACAAGUAAGUGAUACUAUCAUUACUAUCUUAUAUCUUUUGGCAUGAAAAUGUGUAUCACUACGAUCGAGAUUCAAUAAACCAUUCGUUUCAGAUGCAAGACCAUUGAAGGUAUUAUUCAAAUAAACAGAGUAACCAUUAUUCUCCUUAAAUGAAUAACCGUAUUGCGAUAGACAUAAUCCAAUCAUGUCUAUGCUCAACGCAAACACCAAAUCUCGAUGGUAGAGGGAGCGUGCGAUGCUUGAUCACAUCAACCUUGGAAAUACUUCCAACACAUAUCGCCAGCUCACCUUUAGCUAGUCUCCGUUUAUUCCGUAGCUCUUUUAUUUUGAAUUACUAACACUUAGCAACCGAACCGGUAUCUAAUACCCUGGUGCUACUAGGAGUACUAAUAAAGUACACAUUAACAUAAUGUAUAUCCAAUAUACUUCUAUCGACUUUGCCAGCCUUCUCAUCUACCAAGUAUCUAGGGUGGUUCCGCUUCAGUGCCCGUUCCUCUUAUUACAGAAGCACUUAGUCCCGGGUUUGGGUUCAACCUUGGGUUUCUUCACUAGAGCAGCAGCUGAUUUGCCGUUUCAUGAAGUAUCCCUUCUUGCCCUUGCCCUUCUUGAAACUAGUGGUUUCACCAACCAUCAACAACUGAUGCUCCUUCUUGAUUUCUACUUUCGCGGUGUCAAACAUCGCGAAUACCUCAAGGAUUAUCAUAUCUAUCCCUGAUAUGUUAUAGUUCAUCAUGAAGCUCUAGCAGCUUGGUGGCAAUGACUUUGGAGAAACAUCACUAUCUCAUCUGGAAGAUCAACUCCCACUCAAUUCUAGUGAUUGUUGCACUCAGACAAUAUGAGCACAAGCUCAACGAUUGAGCUUUUCUCCCUUAGUUUGCAGGCUAAGAAAAUCGUCGGAGGUCUCAUACCUCUUGACGUGGGCACGAGCAUGAAAUCCCAAUUUCAGCCCUCGAAAACAUCUCAUAUGUUCCGCAACGUUUCGAAAACGUCUUUGGUGCCUCAACUCUAAACCGUUUAACUGAACUAUCACGUAGUUACCAAAACGUGUAUGUCCGAUGUUUGCAACAUCCACAAACGACGUUUGGGGUUCAGCACACUGAGCGGUGCAUUAAGGACAUAAGCUUUCUACUGUCCGCAUAAUCGCUACUGUCAACUUUCAACUAUAUUUUCUGUAGGAACAUAUCUAAACAAUGGAACUAAAGCGCGAGCUUACGACAUAAUUUGCAAAGAUCUUUUGACUAUGUUCAGGAUAAUUAAGUUCAUCUUAUGAACUCCCACUCAGAUAGACAUCCCUCUGGUCAUCUAAGUGAUUACAUGAUCCGAGUCAACUAGGCCGUGUCCGAUCAUCACGUGGGACGGACUAGUCAUCAUCGGUGAACAUCUUCAUGUUGAUCGUAUCUACUAUACGACUCAUGCUCGACCUUUCGGUCUCCGUGUUCCGAGGCCAUGUCUGUACAUGCUAGGCUCGUCAAGUUAACCCUAAGUGUUUUGCAUGUGUAAAACUGUCUUACACCCGUUGUAUGUGAACGUAAGGAUCUAUCACACCCGAUCAUCACGUGGUGCUUCGAAACGACGAACUUUAGCAACGGUGCACAGUUAGGGGAGAACACUUCUUGAAAUUGUUGUAAGGGAUCAUCUUAUUUACUACCGUCGUUCUAAGUAAACAAGAUGCAUAAACAUGAUAAACAUCACAUGCAAUCAAAUAGUGACAUGAUAUGGCCAAUAUCAUUUUGCUCCUUUUGAUCUCCAUCUUCGGGGCUCCAUGAUCAUCAUCGUCACCGGCAUGACACCAUGAUCUCCAUCAUCGUGUCUUCAUGAAGUUGUCUCGCCAACUAUUACUUCUACUACUAUGGCUACCGGUUAGCAAUAAAGUAAAGUAAUUACAUGGCGUUGUAUAAUGACACGCAGGUCAUACAAUAAAUAAAGACAACUCCUAUGGCUCCUGCCGGUUGUCAUACUCAUCGACAUGCAAGUCGUGAUUCCUAUUACAAGAACAUGAUCAAUCUCAUACAUCACAUAUAUUCAUCACAUUCUUCUUGGCCAUAUCACAUCACAUAGCAUACCCUGCAAAAACAAGUUAGACGUCCUCUAAUUGUUGUUUGCAUGUUUUACGUGGCUGCUAUGGGUUUCUAGCAAGAAUGUUUCUUACCUACGCAAAACCACAACGUGAUAUGCCAAUUGCUAUUUACCCUUCAUAAGGACCCUUUUCAUCGAAUCCGUUCCGACUAAAGUGGGAGAGACUGGCACCCGCUAGCCACCUUAUGCACCAAGUGCAUGUCAAUCGGUGGAACCUGUCUCACGUAAGAGUACGUGUAAGGUCGGUCCGGGCCGCUUCAUCCCACAAUACCGUCGAAACAAGAUUGGACUAGUAACGGUAAGCAUAUUGAACAAAAUCAACGCCCACAACUACUUUGUGUUCUACUCGUGCAAAGAAUCUACGCAAUAGACCUAGCUCAUGAUGCCACUGUUGGGGAACGUAGCAGAAAUUCAAAAUUUUCCUACGUGUCACCAAGAUCUAUCUAUGGAGAAACCAGCAACGAGGAGAAGGAGAGUGCAUCUACAUACCCUUGUAGAUCGCUAAGCGGAAGCGUUCAAGAGAACGGGGUUGAAGGAGUCGUACUCGUCGUGAUCCAAAUCACCGGAGAACCUAGUGCCGAACGGACGGCACCUCCGCGUUCAACACACGUACAGCCCGGUGACGUCUCCCAUGCCUUGAUCUAGCAAGGAGAGAGGGAGAGGUUGAGGAAGACUCCGUCCAGCAGCAGCACAACAGCGUGGUGGUGAUGGAGGAGCGUGGUAGUCCAGCAGGGCUUCGCCAAGCACCGCGAGAUAUGAGGAGAAGGGAGAGAGGUAGGGCUGCGCCAAGAGGAGAAGGGAGAGAUUCUCGUGUGUUGGGCCGCCCCCAAUCCUCUAGUAUUUAUAGGGGGGGGGGGAGGGGAGGGGGCUGCGCCCCCUCUAGGGUUCCCUCCCCAGGGGUGGCGGCAGCCCCCAGAUCCCAUCUGGGUGGCGGCCAGAGGGGGAGAGAGGGGAGGCGCGCCUGGGGUGGGCCUUAGGGCCCAUCUGCCCUAGGGUUUGCCCCCUCCCACUCUCCCCUGCGCCUUGGGCCCCUUGUGGGGGGCGCACCAGACCACCUGGGGUUGGUUCCCUCCCACACAUGGCCCAUGCAGCCCUCCGGGGUAGGUGGACCCCCGGGACCCUCCCGGUGGUCCCGGUACGUUACCGAUAAAACCCGAAACUUUUUCGGUGACCAAAACAGGACUUCCCAUAUAUAAAUCUUUACCUCCGGACCAUUCCGGAACUCCUCGUGACGUCCGGGAUCUCAUCCGGGACUUCGAACAACAUUCGCUAACCACAUACAAACUUCCUUUAUAACCCUAGAGUCAUCGAACCUUAAGUGUGUAGACCCUACGGGUUCGGGAGACAUGAAGACAUGACCGAGACGUUCUCCGGUCAAUAACCAACAGCGGGAUCUGGAUACCCAUGUUGGCUCCCACAUGUUCCACGAUGAUCUCAUCGGAUGAACCACGAUGUCAAGGACUCAAUCGAUCCCGUAUACAAUUCCCUUUGUCUAGCGGUAUUUUACUUGCCCGAGAUUCGAUCGUCGGUAUACCGAUACCUUGUUCAAUCUCGUUACCGGCAAGUCUCUUUACUCGUUCCGCAACACAUCAUCCCGUGAUCAACCCCUUGGUCACAUUGUGCACAUUAUGAUGAUGUCCUACCGAGUGGGCCCAGAGAUACCUCUCCGUUUACACGGAGUGACAAAUCCCAGUCUCGAUCCGUGUGAACCCAACAGACACUUUCGGAGAUACCUGUAGUGCACCUUUAUAGUCACCCAGUUACGUUGUGACGUUUGAUACACCCAAAGCACUCCUACGGUAUCCGGGAGUUACACGAUCUCAUGGUCUAAGGAAGAGAUACUUGACAUUAGAAAAGCUCUAGCAAACGAACUACACGAUCUUUGUGCUAUGCUUAGGAUUGGGUCUUGUCCAUCACAUUAUUCUCCUAAUGAUGUGAUCCCGUUAUCAACGACAUCCAGUGUCCAUAGCCAGGAAACCAUGACUAUCUGUUGAUCACAACGAGCUAGUCAACUAGAGGCUCACUAGGAACAUAUUGUGGUCUAUGUAUUCACACGUGUAUUACGAUUUCCGGAUAAUACAGUUAUAGCAUGAAUAAAAGACAAUUAUCAUGAACAAGGAAAUAUAAUAAUACUUUUAUUAUUGCCUCUAGGGCAUAUUUCCAACACGAAGGUACUGCAUUUCUCUCAUUUUUGUCACCUGGCAAAAUGUUCUCCAUUAAUAAACUUGUAAUUCAGUUUCUGUUGUCACUAGAUUUUUUUUGUUAAAAUUGUAGUUUGCAAGGAAACUGUAAUGUUUGAUUUUUUUAAUUUGAGGUAAAGCUAAUUGUGUCUUGCAUACACUCGGGUUUUUAUUUGGGUCUGGUUGAAUAACUCAUAUCAGGCGGCAUGGAGCUAAUUUGACUCCUAAAGCCAGUAAGAGGGUUCCUUGGAUGGUCAAUAAGGGGAUGAUGCCAAUUAGUCUGGAUUCUGGAACAAUGCUAACAUUGAAAUCCUUGAACUUGUUGGUGCAUCCGUGCUUUGAGAAAAAAACAGUUAGGUAUGCUUCUCAGUUCUCACUACCUCCGCGUGAAAACCCAAAUUACAAAUCCUUAUUUGUUAUUUCCAACUACAUUUUGUGGCUGAUGGACAAUAUUUCCGUUGCUAACUUCCUUCCUUUGAAUGACUUGCCAAUGAUCUUUCACAAUUUAUAGCGUUUUACUUUACUUCUAUAACUGAUAUCCUUUAAAUUCAGUUUGUUUUAAAGGUUCACCAUGUUUCUGUAACAAAAUUUAUCCUGUGAAUUGGUAUGUCUGCUCCACUGGGCAGCAGCUGCAACCUUUCAACUUUGGCCCUUGCACCUUUGUUUCAUAUGUGUAUGCUCUAUUUUCCUGUCCAGUCAUUUGGUCUUUAUAUUCAGCUUGUGUUUGUCAAGAGCUUAUUCGGUCAAAGGUUAUAAGAGAUAUGGCAUUGCCACUGUUCCGCUAAGGGAUACGGGGUCAUGAAAAAUCAAGGUUUGUUCGUGUUUCCCACCAAUUGUUUUGUUAUACACCCUGUUCUUACUACUUGCAUGUGACAGCCCGAGCAGCAGGCAAAAUUCUAUUUCUUCUUCUAGAUUGCUAUACCAUUGUGCAAGAAUACCAAUGCAAAUGUGCCUUUUCAGUCCAUAUUUAACAAUGACAAAAAAUAUUUUCCUUUUGUUUCUUUUUCACUUGUGUCUGCACCGGAGAAUGUUCAUCCUUGCCUUCCAUCACCGGAGAAUAUUCAUCCUUACCUUCCAUCACUUGCUCUACUGUAACAAUGCUAAUUUCUCUGCCAUCUAAUUGCUCCAUACACUUAGUUUGUUUAUAUCUAGAGUUCACAUAGGGGUUAGUAAACAGAUAGUCUUUUUUAACCAAACGGCCAUGCAGGUUUGAGCAAGCUCAAAGUAGGCUGGGGGAUGACCAAUGAUUAUACUGAUGCUGGUCAAAGCCAUAUUUUUUGUGCAGGUCCUAGCAAGCUCAUCGCCCACAUAAAAUAUUCCUUGAUGGUGGUCCAUUAUUUUUGUGCAUAUUUAGCUCAGUAUUCGGCCAAACACUUUAACUUGUAUAUCAUAAGAAAGAAAUGCACAUUUUUUACUCGAGAAGCAGUAAAUCUCUUGAUUAUUAAAAUUGUCAGACACCUUUAUGAUUCAGAAGUAUACUUGUCUACGAUCGCGGCCGCCCACGCAUUCGAGCCACCAGGACCGUUAAGGAGACCUUGCAAGGCAAUACUUGGGCGCUGGACUUGGGACCAGUCAUUGAUUUGCCAUGCCUGCAACAGUUUUGAAUGCUAUGGCGACGGAUUGCUGAUGUUCAACUCACGGGAGGAGCAGAGGCCACCAUAAGAUGGGCGUGGAAGAGUAGUGGCAUGUUCUCCGUUCGCCCUGCAUAUGCCUCAAAAUUCGGAGGAAGCGAUGUGGUACCGUACGCGGACGUCACAUGGAACUCGAAGGCCGCACUUCAAUGUCGGUUCUUCACUUGGUUAGCCAUGUGAAACCGUUGUUGGACGUCCGUUCAACUCACCAAGAGAGGCUUGCCCACCACGACACAUGCCCCUUCUACGAAACCGACGAGACCAUUAACCAUCUUCUCAUUGAAUGCACCUUCACACGAUCAUCGAUCGUGUGGCAUAUGGUGUGGUCGGCUAUUGGAAAUUCGGACCAAGCUCCCACUGUUGACGAUAACUUGGGAAAUGAAACGAGGGCCAUUCUUUUUCUUUUUUGCAAAAUGAAACAAGGACCAUUCUCUCGCCCAUCACUUGGGAACUUUGUAAACACCGCAAUGCUAUUGUCUUUGGCGGAGCAACACUUUUUGUGCUUACGAUCAUCAAGAAAAUUGUGACCGAAGGGAGGACAUGGCAGCAAGCCGGGCUACUCAAGGGUAGGUGGGUUAGUAGAGAGUAGUCAAUCAUUGUGGCCGAUAGAUGGUGGGCUACCAUGUCCUCCGUUCCAAAAUAGAUGACCCAACUUUGUACUAACUUUGUACUAAAGUUGAGUCAUCUAUUUUAGAACGGAGUGAGUAAUAUAUGACAAGCACACUCUUCGUGAAAAAGAUGUAUAUGUAUAAUCUGAUCUUUUUCUAUUUGUGAUUUUCCGCACUAAAUUUUCUGUGGACCUUGGAUCAUGCCGAGUCAGCUAGAAAUGCUAUAUCAUCAGUACCUUAGCUAUUAUUUUCAUUUAUUACCAAUACAUUAAAGACCCAGUUGGUGAUGCUAUAUGUCAUUUCUGACCAUAUGAGUGAAUGCAUGUGAGGUAAAUUGCAUGAGCGAGCAGUUCAUAUUUUUUACAUAAAGUCGUAUAAUUUUUUGAUUAGGAUACAAGGGUAAAUGCGUUGGCUGAUUGUGUCAAGAGUUAAUAACGAGCAUGGUGGUGUAUCAGUCGCAUGCCCAACACUGGAUAUGAUAUUUUUGUUUCCUGGUAAUGCUCGACAUUAAACUGUAUGUUACAACGUGACAAUGGCUCAUGAGACGUCGGAUCUGCCUUCUUGGCUCGGGGGCGUCAGGGUGCACACCUCGUGGCCCUUGAUGGCGGCGACGGAUCGGAAUGAAUACGGGGGAGGGGAUCAGUGCGGAGAGCGGGGUAGUUGGUGGGGGAUUCCUCUUUAGCGAUCCGUCGGGAAGUAUGGUGUGAAGGAGAGGGGGCGCCAUGGCAAAUGUGAGGUCGGCGUCAUCCGAUUUUUAAGAAGUGGACUCCAGCGAGUAGUGUCUAGCUACAGUGGGAAACCUAGCGGGAAAUGGAGGGUCCGGCAGGAAGAGAGAAGGGUGCGUCGUUGGGAGUUUUUUUAUGAAACCGUGUGUUGGAGAUAACAUGACGGAUAGUUCGAACAACCAUAUUUCUCUCCCAAAUAUAGGCCAGAUUUCUAGGAGCCGGGACUAUCCAUAUAGUUCCAUUUUGUGGAGCCUGCUAGGCGUCAUUUGAUGUCCGAACUUGUUCGAAUGUACAAGGGAGAAAUGAGAUUUGACCUUGAAGAUGAUCCUAAUUAUUCCGUUGAUUCAUUUAUAUGUAUUAUAGCCCGUAGCAACGCACGGGCGUUCUACUAGUACCUCAUUAGUGACCCUACCUUUUGUGCUUACAAGGGGUUGUUUCUUUUACUUUGUACUCUCUCUGUUCCCAAAUAUUUGUCUUUAUAGAGAUUUCAACAAGUGACUGCAUACGAAGCAAAAUAAAUGAAUCUACACUCUAAAAUAUGUCUACAUACAUCCGUAUGUUAUAAUCCAUUUGAAAUGUAUAGAAAGACAAAUAUUUGGAAAUAGAGGGAGUAGUUUGUAAUUUGUAAGCUUUUAGUGGAUCCAAGAUUCAUAUUCAGUGCAAAGAAAGAACAAUAGUACAGUCAGCAUCGUGCUAUAUAAAAUUGCCAUGCCAUCAAAAGCCAUCCUUACUAGAAGGGUUAGACCCGCUUUGCUGCACCGUUGGUGUUGUUGGGUUUGUUAAAAAAAAUUAAUUACUUUGUUUCAGAAUAUAAGGUGUAUUACCUUUUUCAAAAGUCAAACCUUUUAUGUUUGAUCAAAUUUGUAGAGAAAUAUAUCAAAAUUCAUAAUACCAUACGGGUAUGAUUAGAUUCAUCAUGAAACAAAUUUCCAUAGCUUUUUUCUGUUUAAUAUUGUGGAUGUAAUAUCUUUGCUUUGAGCUUGGUCAAAAUUAAAGAACUUUGACUUAAAAAAAACUAAUACCCCUUAUAGUUUGGAAUUGAUGUAAUAUUUAUUUUGAUGGGUGGAGGACACGGUGGAGUGUAUUUUUGUUUUUAUUUAUAAUGCGAUGAUUUGGUGGACCUUUCAUGGUUGAUUCUAUGUUAUCCACAAACCCACUUAUAUUUAUGUGGGAAAGUUUCUGCGUCGGUGGAUGCAUGUACUAUAAUGCUGAUAUAGUAUCAUGUAAUGUCUUUUAGAUGGUGGGGAUGGUGCGCGAGAUUGAUAUGUCUUUAUAGACCGGUUUCUAUUGAUUAAUUUGAAAAAACGUUGGCCCGGUCAAAAUUAUAAACCAAAUUCAAAAUUGAAUACCUCAAUUGAUAAAAUAAGCUUUAAAAUUAAGGAACAUAGCAAAUUAUAGAAUUAGAUGGGAGAGUUUGAGAAAUUGUUGACCCGAUCAAAAUUGAGUGACUCAAUUCUAAAUUGAAUACCUCAAUUAAUUAUGGCGCGUUGAAAAUUGGAAAGCUUUGAGAAAUUGUUUGACCCGACCGAAAUGACCAUGUUCUAAUCGGAGACCUCAAUUGAAUAUAGAUCUUCAAAAUUAAGGAGCAUAAUGUUGUAACUUAUAUUCCGUACAAUAGAGUUGGUUAUAAAAUUAACUAUGAGGUUAGUCUUUUUUCUUACUUUUUCUCUAUCCCUUUCCUCCCAUUUAUGUUUUUUCUAGGAGUACGCCUAGAGCCCACUCCUCCUUUUCUUAGUCUAGGCUCUGGUUCUUAAAUUAACUCCUUUUUUUCUUAGUCUGGGCUCUGGUUCUUAAAUUAGCGCGUCGUAAAGAGCAUGAAAUAUUUCGCCGGCGACUUUUGACAGAUUCUCUUGCAGCGCCGGAGGUCAAUUGCGGGGGCGGCGUGUGCAGUUUACCUCUGGACUGGACGGGCUCGUCUUCCAUUCAAAUAUUCAACUACCGGAAAUGCGUUACCAGUAUUUGCAACUUGCAGCCGCGUGGAAGCUGAAAAGUAGCAAGCCGUAGUAGUAUUGUUGUUGGUGAAAAGAGCACUGUGACGGGCACUGGAUGCUCCUCGGUUAUCACGUGGAGAAAAUACAGAAAAGGCAAUAGUACUCCCUUUGUUCUAUAAUAUAGUGCACAUAGAUUUUUUGAUAGUCAAAAUUUAUAAACUUUGAUCAAGUUUAUAUAGAAAACUAUUUAAAUAUGUAAUACUAAAUACAGUAUAUAAAAUAUGAAACUACUUAUUAUAAUGAAUCUAACACUAGAUGUUUGCCAUUCAAGCUGUAAAUGAUUUUCUCCAAAAACUUGGCCAAAAAUUAUAGGGUUUGGCUUUUUUAAAAAAAAUCUAUAUGCACUACAUUAUGGAAUGGAGGGAGUAGUAGAGUUGGAAAUCGGCACAGGAGAAGAAGUAGCAGUAGAAGUUUGUGGUUUUCCUUAGGGUGGUACUAGUUGUUUUUUGAGGGGUCCUUAGGGUAGUAGGUUGGACAUGACUUGCUUGGGACUUCAUGUAGCCGCUGUCAUGGGCCGGCCAAACCAGCGCUCGCUCCCGGUCCUUCGUUCAGAAACACCCCAAGCGGGCCACUCACUACGCAGAUUUUUUUUGUUCUUUAGUCUUUUGUGCUAUCGAUCUGCUAGAAAAAAGAUGGAUUGGUUUUUAAUAUUUAUGAAAAAAUUGUGAAAUAAAAAAGAUUUUUAUGGAUUUUGUAAACAAAUCAUCCAUUUGAGAAAACUUCAUCGAUUUUUUAAAAAAUAUAUAUAUUUGACAAAAAAUUCACAAAUUUGUGAAAGGUUCAUCAAUUUUUAAAAAGUGAAUCGAUUAUCAAAAAAAGAUCAAAAAAUUGAAAAAACAAAAACAUCGAUUUGAAAAGGCUCAUCAAUUUAUAAAACAUUCACUGAUUUCAAAAACAAUUCACAAACUUACAAAAAGGUCAUCAAUUUUCAAAAAAUAAUCACAAAAUUUAAAAUUUUCGUAGAUUAACAAAAACACAAAUUUGAAAAAUCAAUAACUUUGACAAAAAACUGUCAUUAGUUUUGAAAAAAGUUCUCAAAUUUGGAAAAGGUUCAUCAACUUUGGAAAAAAAUUAUCGAUUUUUUAAAUUAUCAACCAUUUUAAAAAAAAAAAUCACAAAUUUGAAAAAAAGUUCGUCGAUUUUGGAGAAAAAGUUCAUCAUUUUUGAGAAAAAAGUUCGCAAAUUUAAGAAACGGAAACUAAAAAUAAAGAAAAGGUAUAAGGAAAAAAAGAAAGGGAAACUAUUAAAAAAAGGAACGAGACCUUUGCAUUCACAGCAAAUUGAAGAAAUAAUAAAAGAAAAAGAAGAAGUAAUUAAGCACAUGUGUGAAUAUGACCUAGUGGUUGUUGCGGUUUUCCAUGAAUCGAGAGAUCUCAAGUUCGAACCCGCCGGCCACACCUUUUUUGAACUUUAGCAGGAUAGAAAAAGAAAACAUAAAUGGUCUGGCCCAGCUCGAAGGGUGGGGAUGCGCCGGAUGGCAAAAAAAAAAGCCUGUAAACUGUUUUCAUCUAACAACCAAUCACAAACCUCUCCCCUCCUGAUUUUCAGGGGGGUGGACCGUCCCGCUCACCUGUUGGCCAAUGAAAACUAACCCACCCUGUAAAAGCCUGUAAACUGUUUGUACGUGUAGCAUUGCCGCUUGCUCGUUGACCGACGCUUACCGAGGACAUUUCCUAAACGGCGCCCGUAGCACCCGUUACAGGCUUAACCGUACGGGGCGCACACCCCCUUUCUCCUCGCUGGGCCGGGCCAUGUUACUUUCUUUUUCCUGUUUAAAGACGCAAAAACACAGCGAGUACGGUGCAUCGAACACGCGAUCUUUUGGCUCAACGUUCGUUGACACAACCAACCAGCCAACCGACUUCACUUGUGUACUUUUAGCGUUUCAAUUUUUUGUUAACCAUAUUGAAGAAAAAUUUUCACAAUACAUUCAAAAAAAUGUUCAGUGUGUAUAAAAAAAUGUUCAUCAUGUAUAGAAAUUUUGUUCAGCAUGCAUUCGAAAGGAGUUGAUCGUAUUUAAAAAAAAAGUUAUACAUGUAUUUGAAUAUUGUUCACCAAACAUUGAAAAAAAUGUUCAGUGUGUAUAUAAAAAUGUCAUGUAGAGAAAUUUUGUUCAGCAUGUAUUCAAAAAAAGUUCAGCGUAUUUUUAGAGAAAUGUUCUGUGUCUCUUUGAAUAAUGUUCAUCCUAUACUAAGAAAAUGUUCAAUGUGUAUUCAGAACUAUUUUUGAAUACGCGGACUUUUUUGCAUGCUCGCGAGGUCGAAUCCUGGUCGGGACGUAUUUUUGGCUGUCAUUUUUCGCGUUGCUUUUGUUGCGUGAUCGUGGGCUGGCCCAUCCAACCGCUGUGCGGGCGCCAGAUCCCUUGCGCGGCGCUGAAGGCGCCCUAUAGGAGGUCCCCUUACCGAGCCCCAGGUAGUACACGACCUGACGACCUGGGUCAAGCCCCGCAGAUAAAUGAUAGCCCAGUCUAACUAAAUUCUUGAAGGAUCUGGCCCGCUCUAGUUGAGUGUAGGCAAAUGGAGCUGAAGCGUGCUACUAUUGUUCCUAACCCAAAUUAUUAUUUGUUUUGAGAGUCUGUGUACCUUGGGAGCGACUAUGCCAUGCUUUUUUUAGACAGUCAGCAAAGCUUUAUUGAUCAGUCACACAGUUUACAUAGUAGAGAGCAACUAUGCCUUGCUUAUAGCGAGACAGUACAAGCACUUGCCUGAAGUGCCUUCGCCGCGUGCAGGGCCUUCAGCUCCCAUUUGCUUCUUUCAUUUUUCAUAUUUUUUUCACAUUUUUUCUUUCCUUUUCUUUACCUUUGCUUAUAUUGAAAUAUUCUAAAUAUAUAUAUUACAAAAAUCGUUUUACAAAAAAAUUCAAAAAUGUUAAUCAUGCAUUUGAAAAAUGUUAAGCACAUACAGAAAAAUGUUCUAAUGCAUAAAAAAAUAAUGUGUAUGGAAAAAGUAUACAUCAAAACAUAAAUAUGAAAACAUAUUAAUAGUGUAUUAAAACUAUGUUAAACAUGUACAAAAAAUCCUGAUGUAUACAAAAAAAAUGUACAAACUGUAUGUAAAAUGUACACGUGUAUGAAAAAAGUAGACAUGAAAAUAAAAAAAUAAAGAGUGUUAAUCAUGCAUUUAGAAAAUAUUACACAUGUAUAAAACAAUGUUCUUGUUGUAUACAAAAAAAAUUUAGAAGGUGUGUGUAAAAAGUAGACAUCAAAAAUAUUAUUUGAUAUUUUUAAUUGUGCAUAUAAAAAAUGUUCAUGAUGUAUACAAAAAAUAUGCAAUGUGUGCGAUAAAAAAUUGACAUCAAAAUAUAUCCCGGAAAAAAAAGUAAUGAUGCAUUUGAAAUUAUUAAACGUAUAUAAAAAAAUUCUUUGAGGUGUAUGCCGAAAAUGCAUAAUGGGUAUGAAAAAUAAAAUAGGCACCACAAUAUUUUUUUAAAAUGUUAAUUGUGUAUUUAAAAAUGUACCUGAUACAUGCGAAAAUGUAGAUUUGUGUUGGAAAACACCCGAAGAAAAGUGAGAAACGAAAAAAAAUAAACACCAAUACAGGAAAACUGGAGAAAGCCCUGUGCAAAAAGAAAAGAAACAAAAAAGAAGAAAAUCGAGAAAGAAACAAAAAGAGAAAGUAUAACGAAUUUUAAAACCCCGAAGAAAAGCAGUGAUGAAGUAAUAUAAAAAAGGAAAACAACCGAAGCAAACACGUCAGCGAUCAGAUGAAACGAACAAACACACGACAGAGAAACGCCCUACUAGACCGCUUCACGCGCAAUAAGCGAGAUAUCGCUCCCACGAUAGAUCUUUGCCUCCUUCCUCGUCACACCACCUCACAACCCUAUAAUAUAUACUGGAAGGGUUUGGCGCGCUUUUCUGCGUCAUUAGUGUUGUUGGAUUUCUUUAAAAAAUCACUUUGUUUCAGAAUAUAAUGUGUGUUACUUUUUUUGAAAAGGCAAACAUUUUAAGUUUGAUCAAAUUUAUAGAGAAAUAUAUCAAAAUCCAUAAUUUCAUAUUGAUAUUUUUAGAUUCAUCAUGAAAUGAAUUUUCAUACUUUUUUUGCUGAAUAUUGUGGAUGUCGAUAUUUUUGCUCUGAACUUGGUCAAACUUAAAGAAAUUUGACUUUCUAAAAAACUAAUACCCCUUUAUAUUUUAGAACUGAUAGAAUAUUUAGUUUGGCGGGUGGGGAGAUGAUAAAGUGUGUUUUAUAUUUAUUUAUAAUGUGUUGAUUUGGUGGGCCUUUUGUGGUGUGAUUCUGUGUAUCCGCUAACCUGUCUAUAUUUAUGUGGAGAAAUCUCUGUGUUGGUGGUUGCAUAUACUUUUUUUUUU